GGUCGCUUUUAGUCACAUUUCAGUUUUCGGCUGGUGUGUGUUGUGCGGUGCUCUAUGUGAUUUGAUAGUGUCUGGCGUAUUGGGUAUAUACAAAUAAUAUAGGUUUCUGUUUAGUUUAGCUGUAUGGUUUGUGAUAGUCGAGAGUUGAAUGUGUGUUAGUGAGUGGGCAUAUGUGUUGCGAGCAGAGAGGGAUUUGGACAAUUUUGGCGGUGAUUCAGUAAGUCGGCAGCACAUGGCAGCAAAGGAACACUCUUAUAGCAUUGCGUAUAAAUAAUUCGCGUUGUGAGAUUAAGUUGUUCAGUACAUUCGGUGUGGAGUCGCCAGGUGAGACGUGGUGCGGUGUGUUCGUGUGGUGGCUUGUGAAUUAGUUAGUUAGUCAAGGCAUGGUUGAUUUCGUUGCACGUAGAUGUGCGUGUGCAGCAGCAGUGGAUGCAGUGGAAGCACUAAAAUUAUCCUUCUAGAAGACAAAUUGCGCAGUGAAUAGCCAGCAAAGGGGCGGGGCAAAUGCGUAUAGCAAAUAAGUAUUACAAACAGUAUAAUCACAUUUAAUCCGUUCAUCACUUCAACAAGUGUGAAACUGUAGAGUUUUUGUGACUACUAAGUCUGCCACAACAGCUGUGAACACAAGCCACUAUCAGACUGGGGUGCAGAGGUUGAGUGACGAAAGAAAAUAAAAAUAAAAACAUUUGUGUGAUUUAGAAAUAUCGAAAAACUUUUUACUAAAAACAAUAAUUUUUAAGCCACUGAAGUGCAAAGACUAAUCUCACAAAAAAACAAGCAACAAAAACAGAAAACAAAAAACAUAAAAGGAAAGAAGCACACGAAAAACUUAUUAGAAAAGGCAGCUUCAAUUUCUUUGGGCGUCUUAAUGAAUCAUGGUCGAAGAGUUUUUGGAGAAAUUACCUGAAAUCGACACACGCUACGAGGUGAGCAACAGCAACAAUACAGAUAUACAAAACAUAUGUAUUUUCAUAACUAAUUCAGCCAGCGACAUGCCGUUUUAAACUACCAGAAUUUUCUUGCUUACCGAAAGUUUAUUUAUUUACUUGGCAUCAUCUACCGUUUUAGAAAGAAGAAUAUCUUAAAUGCCAAAGCUCGUAGUUUGACAAACAAUUGUGAUAACCAAAACCAUACAGAAAUCAAAUACAACUUGACUUAGAAUUUUCAACUUAACUGUUGGAUCUGAACAAUUUCUGCAACUUUCGGAUAUUGUACCUAUGGAACAAGUUAGUUCAAUGGUUUCAAACGGAGGUGGCAGUGUCACCAUGCAACGCGACGACGAAUACCGGAAUCGUAUAA